UCAAGCUACCAAGGGCACACGGUGGAUGCCUUGGCGCUGGGAGCCGAUGAAGGACGUGGCAAGCUGCGAUAAGCCUCGGCGAGCUGCAAGCAAGCGUUUGAACCGGGGAUAUCCGAAUGGGGAAACCCGCCGCGGGGAAUGCCGCGGCAUCCAUGCCUGAACACAUAGGGCAUGGAAGGGAACCGGGGGAACUGAAACAUCUAAGUACCCCGAGGAAAAGAGACAAUAUUGCAUUCCGUAAGUAGCGGCGAGCGAAAGCGGAGGAGCCUAAACCUUGUGCGCGUGAUAGCCUGCAGGCGUUGCGCACGGGGGGUUGCAGGAGCGGCCGGGGAUCUCUGCAGGGAUCCGUCCGACACGAAGGUCUUUAGCCGAACGGCCUGGAACGGCCGGCCACAGGGGGUGAAAGCCCCGUAGGCGAAAGGGAUCUUCUGCGGAUGGCCGCCGCCUAAGUACCGCGGGACACGUGAAAUCCCGCGGGAAUCCGGGAGGACCACCUCCCAAGGCUAAAUACUACCCGGCGACCGAUAGUGAACUAGUACCGUGAGGGAAAGGUGAAAAGCACCCCGGGAGGGGAGUGAAAUAGUACCUGAAACCGUGUUGCCUACAAACAGUGGGAGGGCUAUGGUCGUAAGACCAGCCUGACCGCGUACUUUUUGUAGAACGGACCGGCGAGUUACGGUGUGCGGCAAGGUUAAGCGGAUAACGCGGAGCCGAAGCGAAAGCGAGUCUUAACAGGGCGAAUUAGUCGUACGCUGUAGACCCGAAACCGGGCGAUCUAUCCAUGGCCAGGGUGAAGCGGAAGUAACGUUCCGUGGAGGCCCGAACCCAUUAGUGUUGAAAAACUAUGGGAUGAGCUGUGGAUAGGGGUGAAAAGCCAAUCGAGCUCGGAGAUAGCUGGUUCUCCCCGAAAUAGCUUUAGGGCUAGCCUCGGGAAUAGGCUUGCGGAGGUAGAGCACUGAUCGGGCAAGGGGCCCUGAAAGGUUACCGACCCCUUUCAAACUCCGAAUGCCGCAAGCUGGUGCCCGGGAGUCAGACUGUGGGGGCUAAGCUUCAUAGUCGAGAGGGAAACAGCCCAGACCGCCGGCUAAGGUCCCAAAUUGACAGCUAAGUGGUUAAGGAUGUGGAACUGCCCAGACAACCAGGAUGUUGGCUUAGAAGCAGCCAUACAUUUAAAGAGUGCGUAAUAGCUCACUGGUCGAGUGGGUCUGCGCCGAAAAUGUCCGGGGCUCAAGCUGUCAACCGAAGCCGCGGAACUCUAAUCAAGGGUUGGUAGGGGAGCGUUGCCUGCCGGCUGAAGCACGACCGAAAGGACGUGUGGACGGCAGGGAAGUGAGAAUGCCGGUAUGAGUAGCGAAAAGGCAGGUGAGAAUCCUGCCCGCCGUAAGCCUAAGGUUUCCUGAGGAAGGUUCGUCCUCUCAGGGUAAGCCGGGGCCUAAGCCGAGGCCGAAGGGCGUAGGCGAUGGACAACGGGUUGAAAUUCCCGUGCCGCCUCGGUCGCGCUUGAGCGAAGCGGGGACGCAGAAGGGUAGGCGCAGCAGGCUGAUGGAAUAGCCUGUCCAAGCGAGUAGGGUGUGCCGUAGGUAAGUCCGCGGCACAAAAGCCCGAGACGCGAGUGGGUGCGGAUACGUCCGCUGAACUGGCCAAUCCCAUGCUGCCAAGAAAAGCCGCUAGCGAGCGACCAGGCGCCCGUACCGCAAACCGACACAGGUAGGCGAGGAGAGGAUCCUAAGGCGCGCGAGAGAACCCUCGUUAAGGAACUCGGCAAAAUGGCCCCGUAACUUAGGGAUAAGGGGCGCCCCGUUAGGGUGUAGGGCCACACGCCCGAAGCCUGAGGGGGCCGCAGUGAAACGGCCCGAGCGACUGUUUACCACAAACACAGGUCUCUGCUAAGUCGCAAGACGAAGUAUAGGGGCUGACGCCUGCCCAGUGCCGGAAGGUUAAGGGGAGGGCUUAGCGGCAACGCGAAGGUCUGAACCGAAGCCCCGGUGAACGGCGGCCGUAACUAUAACGGUCCUAAGGUAGCGAAAUUCCUUGUCGGGUAAG
rnacentral:rRNA from 1 species